rnacentral:rRNA from 1 species
GUGGGGAAUAUUGGGCAAUGGGCGAAAGCCUGACCCAGCAACGCCGCGUGAAGGAAGAAGGCCCUCGGGUUGUAAACUUCUUUGACCAGGGACGAAUAAUGACGGUACCUGGAAAACAAGCCACGGCUAACUACGUGCCAGCAGCCGCGGUAAUACGUAGGUGGCAAGCGUUGUCCGGAUUUACUGGGUGUAAAGGGCGUGCAGGCGGGAAUGCAAGUCAGGCGUGAAAACUAUGGGCUCAACCCAUAGCCUGCGUUUGAAACUGCAUUUCUUGAGUGAUGGAGAGGCAGGCGGAAUUCCUCGUGUAGCGGUGAAAUGCAUAGAUAUGAGGAGGAACACCAGUGGCGAAGGCGGCCUGCUGGACAUUAACUGACGCUGAGGCGCGAAAGCGUGGGGAGCAAACAGGAUUAGAAACCCCAGUAGUCC